CAGCAGUCGCCGCGGUAACACGAAGGGUGCAAGCGUUAAUCGGAAUUACUGGGCGUAAAGCGUGCGUAGGCGGUGAGUUAAGUCUGCUGUGAAAUCCCCGGGCUCAACCCAUAGUCUGCAUGGAAAACUGUCGGGCUUGAGUAUGGGAGAGGUGAGUGGAAUUUCCGAUGUAGCGGUGAAAUGCGUAGAUAUCGGAAGGAACACCUGAGGCGAAAGCGGCUCACUGGACCAUAACUGACGCUGAGGCGCGAAAGCUAGGGGAGCAAACAGGAUUAGAGACCCGGGUAGUCCCUGUCUCUUAUAU
rnacentral:rRNA from 1 species